UGUUUCAUCUUUAGUAGCCAAACUGGAUCCACUUGUUCCUGUGCUGGGAGGUCUGCUGGCCUGCUGUGCGACUGUUUGUGUGCUCCUGCUUACUUAUUUAUACAGAAGAAGAACUUCUGAACAUCAGAAAGAAACAAUUACUUUCAGUUUAGCAGAAGAACAGUUAAAUCCAAAUCAGGGUAAAGAAGAGCCGGCAAAGAUGUAUGCAGCACUUGACUUUUCCAUGAAAAGAGCAGAACCUAGGAGGAAUCAAGAGAGCGGAGAGUCUUCAGCCUGUUUGUACACAACAGUACAAGCAGCUUCGUAAAACACGUAGUAGAUUCAGUCAAAGCAGGACCUAAAUCUAUGGAUGUUUGCAGAUUGUAAACAACUAAAUACUGAAGGAUUGUUGUUUGUGGAUGUUCGUUAUGUGCAGUUUAUUAAAGACCGAAAUGUGCAAAUAUGAUUUA